CAAUCCUUGGCAUCAGAAGUGACACAUUGCAGUUUUAUUCAGAUUCAAAUUUUUGAGUUGAUCCGGAUGAGCAAAAUUCAAAUAUCUCUCAUUAAAACAGAGCCGAGUUCAGGGAGAGAAAGACUCUUUAUCCAUAGAAGAAAGACUUGAUACCAAGUACGAGAAUAUAGUAUUUUUUAUACUCUCUUUAUUUUUUUCGGAGUCAACCAAUCCAACAAUUUUUUUUUUCUUAUUUAGCAUACAAAACAGUAAACCGUAAACCGUUAUCCCACUAGAGUGCUGACCGAGCCUUCCCACUACCGGAUUAAGUUAUAGCGGCAAUACCUAUCAUGUGCAGGUGGCUUCAAA
rnacentral:lncRNA from 1 species